rnacentral:rRNA from 1 species
UACGUAGGGGGCAAGCGUUGUCCGGAUUUAUUGGGCGUAAAGAGCGUGUAGGCGGUCAGGUAGGUCCGUUGUGAAAACUCGAGGCUCAACCUCGAGACGCCGAUGGAAACCAUCUGACUAGAGUCCGGAAGAGGAGAGUGGAAUUCCCAGUGUAGAGGUGAAAUUCGUAGAUAUUGGGAAGAACACCGGUGGCGAAGGCGGCUCACUGGCUCAUUUCUGACGCUCAGGCGCGACAGCGUGGGGAUCAAACAGG